rnacentral:rRNA from 1 species
UACAGAGGAUGCAAGCGUUAUCCGGAAUGAUUGGGCGUAAAGCGUCUGUAGGUGGCUUUUUAAGUCCGCCGUCAAAUCCCAGGGCUCAACUCUGGACAGGCGGUGGAAACUACCAAGCUUGAGUACGGUAGGGGCAGGAGGGAAUUUCCGGUGGAGCGGUGAAAUGCGUAGAUAUCGAGAGGAACACCAGAGGUGAAGACGGGUUGCUGGGCCGACACUGACGCUGACAGCGCGAAAGCCAGGGGAGCAAACGGG